rnacentral:tRNA from 1 species
GCCGCGGUGGCGAAACUGGCAGACGCGCACGGUUCAGGACCGUGAAUCCGCAAGGAUAUGUGGGUUCAAAUCCCACCCGUGGCA